GAAAUAUGUUGAGUUGGGGGGAUUUGUCUUGGGAUGAUCAAGCUUCAAUCAGAGGAUACUGGGAGGAGGCUGACGAAUAUUUUGAUCCUAUGAGUAGCUACCGUCAUGUUGGUGGCAGGACCAUGCUGGUAGAUGUAGAUCUGAAAGUCCAGUCAAGUUAUCAGAGAGAACAUGUGCCUAUGAUUUCAUUGAUGAGUAAGCUAAAUGGGCAAGCAAUAAUAGGGCAUCCUAUCCAAGUUGAAAUCCUUGCAGACGGUUCUACUGACAGCUUCCUUGGGGAUAUUGAUAAUUAUCCAGAGACAUUGGAUUAUGAUCCAUCACUCCAACCUACAUGGAGAACUGCUCGCCGGACUGCCAAUGUUCGUGUUCCAAGGCCACAUGUAUCAUCAGCAAAAGAUAAUCCUGAAGGAAUAAAGCAUGUCCAGGGUUCCGAUCAUCACAGAAAUGUUCGAAAAGCUACUGUACAGAAGGCAAGCACGACGAGGAAGGCCACAUCCCGGCCUCCCUUAGAAAGAACAUUUUCAAGGAAGCCAGGGAAAAAGGUUAGUUUAUCUUCUAACCAAAAGAUAAGGACGCUUUCUUCGAUUGCCUCACAACAGAAACAAAGUAGUGAUUCUAACAGUUAUCAAGUGGAUGGAGCACUCAAACAAGAGACACUACCAACUGUUGUAGCUUGUAUUCCGGUAAAGUUAGUCUUCAGUAGGUUGAAUGAGGAGUUAGUGGGCCGUCGUCCAUAAUAAUUUUGUAGCAUGGGCUAAAAAGGAAGGCAAUACAGACAAUAAUAUACAAGUAACA
rnacentral:misc_RNA from 1 species